UCUGUUCCUUACCCUCAUCCAGAAAGGACGAACAGAACGCGACGGCAGCGUAUAAUCAAACAAAUUCCAUCAUAUUUCUAUCAUGGCGCCGAAAAAGCGUGGAAUACAGCGAUACAAAAUCAUUAUGCAUUAGACGUAAAUAGAUUAAAACAGCGACCAACACUGCUCUUUCUGAGUCCAUCAUUUGUGCUGUCCAGUGGGGUAUGUGAAUAAUGGCAGUAAAAAAAUUAACCACAAUUCUUAGCGAAUAAUAAGAAUAAUGUAAAUUGCAUGUAAACGGGAGUAAGAGCUUUGCUCUUGACAUGUAAACAUCAAAAUGCGAUUAAGUCCUUACUCUGAUUAUUGGAAAUAAUCGCAAUAUUCGUGCGCAUGUAAACGCAGUCAUUGUCUUCAAGAAUGUUGUACACAAGAACCACACAAACGAGUACGUGCACACGUAGAAGGAUGCGUGAGGACGUAACAGCAACGUUUUCGCGCUCGCUCUCUGGGUGAAGUCGUUACGUCGACCAACCUUAAGUAUGAUCGUUUUUGUCACAAAAAACGUCUUUUUUUCCUCAACAUCUUCAAGAAGGGUGUACACAAGAACCAAACAAAUGAUCUUCAGGAAAGUUGACUGUUGAGGCAGGUGCGCUACAAGACUAAAAUAAUUCGCACAGUAAACAGUUUUCCUGUAGUAGCAGCUGGAGCUGCUCUGAUUAUGAUCUAACUGUCAAAAAGGUUGUAGAACAAGGACAAGAACAAGAGCAGUUCCCACCUGGUUUCCAUGGCAUCUGUCCAACUCACAGCAGGAAAGGAAGCAGAUCUCGGCAGUGCUGAGUUCGCCCUCUUCUGGACGGAAGGCAAGUGUGAGGUGGCCAUGAGAAUGCUAUACAUCAUGGCAGACCAUCUGGAGUGUCUCAACUACACUUUGCACAGAAAUACGUCCUCAUCCUAGCUUCUUAUCCAUACAUCACAAAACCAUAUAAACAGCCAACCAAGGGAAUAUAACCUUGGUAUCACGCCAUCUUUGCAUCUCUUCCCCUCACUGCUUUCAAACCAAUGCUACAUUAUUUA